AAAGCUUGGCGAAUAAGAGCUGGGUAAGACGGGUGCCAGCCGCCGCGGUAAUACCCGCACCUCGAGUUGUCUGGACUAUUAUUGGGUCUAAAGCGUUCGUAGCCGGGCCUGCAAGUUCCCUGUGAAAUCCGGCAGCUUAACUGUCGGGCGUGCAGGGGGUACUACAGGCCUUGGGACCGGGAGGGGUUGAGGGUACUUUCGGGGUAGGGGUGAAAUCCUAUAAGCCCGAAGGGACCACCUGUGGCUAAUGCGCUCAACUAAAACGGGUCCGACGGUGAGGGACGAAAGCGUGGGGAUCAAAUGGGAUUAGAUACCCCAGUAGUCCACGCUGUAAAUUCUGCAGACUAGGUGUUGCGCGCCCCUAGUGGGCAUGCAGUGCCGAAGGGAAGCCGUUAAGUCUGCCACCUGGGAAGUACGGCCGCAAGACUGAAACUUAAAGGAAUUGACGGGGGAGCACCGCAAGGGGUGGAGCUUGCGGUUUAAUUGGAUUCAACGCCGGACAUCUCACCGGGGGCGACAACAGUAUGAAGGUCAGGUUGACGAUCUUACCAGACUAGUUGAGAGGUAGUGCAUGGCCGUCGUCAGUUCGUGCCGUAAGGUGUUCUGUUAAGUCAGAUAACGAACAAGACCCACGCUGCUAGUUGCUAAUCUCCCUUUCGAGGGGGGUGCACUCUAGCGGGACCGCUGGUGAUAAAUCAGAGGAAGGGGUGGUCAACGGUAGGUCAGUAUGCUCCGAAAUCCCCCGGGCUACACGCGAGCUACAAUGCGCGUCACAAUGGGGCUGGCGACGCCCGAAAGGGCGGAACCCAAUCCUUAAAGGCGCGCCCAGUUCGGAUCGAGGGCUGUAACCCGCCCUCGUGGA
rnacentral:rRNA from 1 species